GACGAACGCUGGCGGCGUGCCUAACACAUGCAAGUGGAGCGACGAACCGGACUUCGGUCCGGGCAAAGCCGCGAACGGGUGAGUAACACGUGGGUAACCUGCCCCGAUGAUUGGGACAACCCGACGGAAACUCGGGGCUAAUACCGAAUGUGCCCUACGGUCGCAAGACCGCUGGGGAAAGGAAGCUUCGGCCUCCGCAUCGGGAUGGGCCCGCGGCCCAUUAGCUUGUUGGUGAGGUAAAGGCUCACCAAGGCCACGAUGGGUAGCUGGUCUGAGAGGACGAUCAGCCACACUGGGA
rnacentral:rRNA from 1 species